rnacentral:rRNA from 1 species
UACGUAGGGUGCAAGCGUUGUCCGGAAUUAUUGGGCGUAAAGAGCUCGUAGGCGGUCUGUCGCGUCGGAUGUGAAAACCCAGGGCUCAACCCUGGGCCUGCAUUCGAUACGGGCAGACUAGAGUUCGGUAGGGGAGACUGGAAUUCCUGGUGUAGCGGUGAAAUGCGCAGAUAUCAGGAGGAACACCUGUGGCGAAAGCGGCGCACUGGACCACAACUGACGCUGAGGCGCGAAAGCGUGGGGAGCGAACAGG